UGCCUCUCAGGGUCGCACCUGGAGAGCUUCUAGUAUUCUUCCAGUCUCAACUAAGGGAGGGAGAGUCAAGCAGAGGCAUUUCCAUUCCUACCUUGAGUAGUGGCUAGUGAGUGGAAGGCAAUCUGCUACAAGU